AUUGAACGCUGGCGGCAUGCCUUACACAUGCAAGUCGAACGGUAACAGGUCUUCGGAUGCUGCCGAGUGGCGAACGGGUGAGUAAUACAUCGGAACGUGCCCGAUCGUGGGGGAUAACGAAGCGUAAGCUUUGCUAAUACCGCAUACGAUCUACGGCUGAAAGCGGGGGAUCUUCGGACCUCGCGCGGACGGAGCGGCCGAUGGCAGAUUAGGUAGUUGGUGGGAUAAAAGCUUACCAAGCCGACGAUCUGUAGCUGGUCUGAGAGGAUGAUCAGCCACACUGGAACUGAGACACGGCCCAGACUCCUACGGGAGGCAGCAGUGGGGAAUUUUGGACAAAGGGCGCAAGCCUGAUCCAGCCAUGCCGCGUGCAGGAUGAAGGCCUUCGGGUUGUAAACUGCUUUUGUACGGAACGAAAAGGUGCCUUCUAAUAAAGGGCGCUCAUGACGGUACCGUAAGAAUAAGCACCGGCUAACUACGUG
rnacentral:rRNA from 1 species